UACAGAGGUCUCAAGCGUUGUUCGGAUUCAUUGGGCGUAAAGGGUGUGUAGGUGGCGCGCUAAGUCGGGUGUGAAAUUUCGGAGCUUAACUCCGAAACUGCAUUCGAUACUGCCGUGCUUGAGGACUUGAGAGGAGACUGGAAUUUACGGUGUAGCGGUGAAAUGCGUAGAUAUCGUAAGGAAGACCAGUGGCGAAGGCGGGUCUCUGGACAGUUCCUGACGCUGAGGCACGAAGGCCCAGGGGAGCAAACGGG
rnacentral:rRNA from 1 species